rfam:Schistosoma haematobium scaffold1186_23, whole genome shotgun sequence.
GCACUGCCGAGGAGUCCCACAAUAGGACGAAACGGCCGUCCAAUGC